AAAGUGCGAUAACUAGUGUGAAUUGCAGAAUUCUGUGAAUCAUCGAACUCUUGAACGCAUCCUGCGCCUGAGGGCUAUCCCUCAGGCACACCUGUUUGAGUGUUGACUCAUUCUCUAUUCUUUUAAAACAAACUAACUUGUUUUGUUCUGAAAGAGAAUUGAUAGUGAAGAAUCGUAAAACAUUCCUCUCUAUUUAAAAAAGUAUGGGCUUGGUCACUUCAUUUCAUUAAUUAGUGGCUAACAAAACAAUCUAGGUUCAGGGGUCUUUUAUGACUCAAGUCCUAGAUUCACUUUUUAGUUUUGAAGUAAGUGAUUGCAGCAUCAAAGGAAUAAAUGGUAUGUGUUUCAAUAAUACACACCACAAACCCAAUUCAACCUCAAAUCAGGUGGGACUACCCCC
rnacentral:misc_RNA from 1 species